rnacentral:lncRNA from 1 species
CUGGGCUGGCCAUGACUGAAUCUUGAUCUGGUGGUCCUUCAUCCACAGGUCAAUCAAGGUGUGGAUGAAGGACCACCAGAUCAAGAUUAUUUACUAUUUACACCCCUGCCUGUGGGAGAUGUAUUUUUCAUUAUCAGUGUCCCAGUAGAUCCCAAAAAUAACAGAAAAAUAAGUACAAAAAAAUAGAGUACAAAGAAUGGUUAAAUGGAUAAACUACAUUUUUGUAGUUAUUUUACUGUUAUAUUCGGGAUUUACUGAGACCGUGGUAAAGAUCUACCAGUCGAUUGAACUGAUGUAGAUGCAUUCCAUUCAGUUUCAUUUUAGCAGCUUCAUAAUUUGAAAAAUUGAGCAGCUCUGCUUUGUUGUUGGCUUAUGACCACCUGUCUUCCUCUUGAUCAUAUCCCAGAGGUAUUCAGUGGUGUUCAGGUCUGGAGACUGGGCUGGCCAUGACUGAAUCUUGAUCUGGUGGUCCUUCAUCCACAGGUCAAUCAAGGUGUGGAUGAAGGACCACCAGAUCAAGAUUAUUUACUAUUUACACCCCUGCCUGUGGGAGAUGUAUUUUUCAUUAUCAGUGUCCCAGUAGAUCCCAAAAAUAACAGAAAAAUAAGUACAAAAAAUAGAGUACAAAGAAUGGUUAAAUGGAUAAACUACAUUUUUGUAGUUAUUUUACUGUUAUAUUCGGGAUUUACUGAGACCGUGGUAAAGAUCUACCAGUCGAUUGAACUGAUGUAGAUGCAUUCCAUUCAGUUUCAUUUUGAUUGAUACCCCGUAACAAUUGCCAUUACAAUUUUAAAAUUGUAGGUCUGCAAUGACUUUAACUUGAAACAGGCUACAAUCCAAGUGACCUGAAAACUGUGUGCUCAGGAAAGCACUGAACCAGUUUGAACCAGACAAACAAUCAUGAACCAACUUACAGACAGAAGGAAAUAAGGCUCAACAUCUGCAGCCUGCUCAGGAACCUUGAGAGAUCUAAGCACCAGGGAAGUGUUUUUGGAAAUUUUUCAGCCACAUGUCAUCCUGUCUUUAGUAGAUGGAAGACCUGCUGGUUUUUGCUGCACAAAGACAGAGAUCUCGUUGUGACAAGGACAAGGCGUGACAGAGACAAAGGCAAAUUGCUCAAUGUCUUCAUUAGUGGAGAUCCUGAGAGUGUGCAGACUCUUGUGGUACCAUCAGCCAGUCAGUGUUGUCAGGGGUC